rnacentral:rRNA from 1 species
GACCCCUGGCGGAUGCUAACACAUGCAAGUCGAACGAGAUCUUCGGAUCUAGUGGCGCACGGGUGAGUACGUGGGAACCUACUUUUAGUACGGGACAACGUUUGGAAACGAACGCUAAUACCGUAUACGCCCUCCGGGGGAAAGGUCAGCCGCUGAAAGAGGGGCCCGCGUCUGAUUAGCUUGUUGGUAAGGUAACGGCUUACCAAGGCAACGAUCAGUAGCUGGUCUGAGAGGAUGAUCAGCCACACUGGGACUGAGACACGGCCCAGACUCCUACGGGAGGCAGCAGUGGGGAAUAUUGGACAAUGGAGGCAACUCUGAUCCAGCAAUGCCCGCGUGUGUGAUGAAGGCCCUAGGGUUGUAAAGCACUUUCAACGGUGAAGAUGAUGACGGUAGCCGUAGAAGAAGCCCCGGCUAACUUCGUGCCAGCAGCCGCGGUAAUACGAAGGGGGCGAGCGUUAUUCGGAAUUAUUGGGCGUAAAGGGCUCGCAGGCUGCUUGAACAGUUAGACGUGAAAUCCCCGGGCUUAACCUGGGAACUGCGUUUAAAUACUAGCAAGCUAGAGAAAAUAGAGAGGAAAGUGGAACUCCCAGUGUAGAGGUGAAAUUCGUAGAUUUGGGAAGAAC